rnacentral:rRNA from 1 species
UACGUAGGUGGCGAGCGUUGUCCGGAUUUACUGGGUGUAAAGGGAGCGUAGGCGGACUUUUAAGUGAGAUGUGAAAUACUCGGGCUCAACUUGAGUGCUGCAUUUCAAACUGGAAAUCUAGAGUGCAGGAGAGGAGAAUGGAAUUCCUAGUGUAGCGGUGAAAUGCGUAGAGAUUAGGAAGAACACCAGUGGCGAAGGCGAUUCUCUGGACUGUAACUGACGCUGAGGCUCGAAAGCGUGGGGAGCAAACAGG